rnacentral:rRNA from 1 species
GGUUAAGCGACUAAGCGUACACGGUGGAUGCCCUGGCAGUCAGAGGCGAUGAAGGACGUGCUAAUCUGCGAAAAGCGUCGGUAAGGUGAUAUGAACCGCAACAGCCGACGAUGUCCGAAUGGGGAAACCCAGUGCAUUUAUGCACUAUCGUUAACUGAAUACAUAGGUUAACGAGGCGAACCGGGGGAACUGAAACAUCUAAGUACCCCGAGGAAAAGAAAUCAACCGAGAUUCCCCCAGUAGCGGCGAGCGAACGGGGAACAGCCCAGGACCUGAAUCAGUUUGUGUGUUAAUGGAAGCGUCUGGAAAGUCGCGCGAUACAGGGUGACAGCCCCGUACAUGAAAAUGCACAGAUUGUGAGUCCGAUGAGUAGGGCGGGACACGUGGUAUCCUGUCUGAAUAUGGGGGGACCAUCCUCCAAGGCUAAAUACUCCUGACUGACCGAUAGUGAACCAGUACCGUGAGGGAAAGGCGAAAAGAACCCCGGCGAGGGGAGUGAAACAGAACCUGAAACCGUGUACGUACAAGCAGUGGGAGCACCUUCGGGUGUGACUGCGUACCUUUUGUAUAAUGGGUCAGCGACUUAUAUUCUGUAGCAAGGUUAACCGUAUAGGGGAGCCGCAGGGAAACCGAGUCUUAA